GGACUCGAUGUCUACUUGGAGGUUGUGCCCUUGAGGCGUGGCUUCCGGAGCUAACGCGUUAAGUAGACCGCCUGGGGAGUACGGCCGCAAGGUUAAAACUCAAAUGAAUUGACGGGGGCCCGCACAAGCGGUGGAGCAUGUGGUUUAAUUCGAUGCAACGCGAAGAACCUUACCUGGUCUUGACAUCCACAGAAGAAUCCAGAGAUGGAUUUGUGCCUUCGGGAACUGUGAGACAGGUGCUGCAUGGCUGUCGUCAGCUCGUGUUGUGAAAUGUUGGGUUAAGUCCCGCAACGAGCGCAACCCUUAUCCUUUGUUGCCAGCGGUUAGGCCGGGAACUCAAAGGAGACUGCCAGUGAUAAACUGGAGGAAGGUGGGGAUGACGUCAAGUCAUCAUGGCCCUUACGACCAGGGCUACACACGUGCUACAAUGGCGCAUACAAAGAGAAGCGACCUCGCGAGAGCAAGCGGACCUCAUAAAGUGCGUCGUAGUCCGGAUUGGAGUCUGCAACUCGACUCCAUGAAGUCGGAAUCGCUAGUAAUCGUGGAUCAGAAUGCCACGGUGAAUACGUUCCCGGGCCUUGUACACACCGCCCGUCACACCAUGGGAGUGGGUUGCAAAAGAAGUAGGUAGCUUAACCUUCGGGAGGGCGCUUACCACUUUGUGAUUCAUGACUGGGGUGAAGUCUAAAAGGGGGAAACC
rnacentral:rRNA from 1 species